ACCCAUUAGAACGAGCGGAAACUUAGCCGGUUUGUGUUUUUUAGAAAAGACAACCAUCUCAGUUUUCUCCGGAGAGAAUUCGAUACCCAGCUUCAGAGCCCAAGUAGACAAACUGUCCAAAGUAUCCUGUAGUGCUAAUUCGUGAAACUGUCAAGUCGCCAUGAGCAAAGCUCAUCUGCUUCUCAAACAGCAAAUUGUACAAAAAGUUGUUCAUAAUUGGUGAAAAGCCUCUUUCGUGCAGUUUGUCGGAAAGAACAUCGACACAAACUGAAUCAAAAGCCC